rnacentral:rRNA from 1 species
UACGUAGGUGGCGAGCGUUGUCCGGAUUUACUGGGCGUAAAGAGCGCGCAGGCGGUCGUACAAGUCGCGUGUGAAAGCCCCUGGCUCAACUGGGGAGGGUCACGCGAUACUGUUCGACUCGAAGGCAGGAGAGGGAAGUGGAAUUCCCGGUGUAGUGGUGAAAAUGCGUAGAUAUCGGGAGAACACCAGUGGCGAAGGCGGACUUCCUCGGCC